rnacentral:rRNA from 1 species
UACGUGAGGGUGCGAGCGUUUAAUCGGAAUUACUGGGCGUAAAGCGUGCGCAGGCGGUUCGUUAAGUCAGCUGUGAAAGCCCCGGGCUCAACCUGGGAAUUGCGGUUGAAACUGGCGAACUAGAAUCUGGCAGAGGGGGGUGGAAUUCCACGUGUAGCAGUGAAAUGCGUAGAGAUGUGGAGGAACACCGAUGGCGAAGGCAGCCCCCUGGGCUAAGAUUGACGCUCAGGCACGAAAGCGUGGGGAGCAAACAGG